CCUGUCAGCCAUCCAAGGUCUUUGGAGCACUACUGUGGAGCAGAAUCUGUCGUAGGUGGUGGAGACUCCAUGUUGAACUAAACAGAGCCCCACGCCGGAUUCUCUUGUUAACAGGGGACUGACAAGAAGCAGAUGAUAGAUACAUGAAAUGGCAUCAGGGAGGUGUCAUUGCUGUUCUUUCUGGUCAAGCAACUAAGACUCAGAGGUCAUAUUCACAAACCACC
rnacentral:lncRNA from 1 species